UCUGAAAUAGCUUAAACUUAUAGCGCUGAUUUUGUAAUUCAGAGAUGAAGUAAAUAUCUUCUUUCAGAU
rnacentral:tRNA from 1 species